UUUUUUUUUUUUUUUGAGAUGGAGUCUCACUCUGUCACUCAGGUUGGAGUGCAGUGGCGUGAUCUCCACUUACUGCCACCUCUGCCUCCCAGGUUCAAGCGAUUCUCCUGCCUCAGCCUCCUGAGUAGCUGAGAUUACAGACACAUGCCACCACACCCGUCUAAAUUUUGUAUUUUUAGUACAGACAGGGUUUCACCAUAUUGGCCAGGCUGGUCUCGAACUCCUGACCUCAUGAUCCACCCACCUUGGCCUCCCAAAGUGUUAGGAUUAUAGGUGUGAACUACCAUGCCUGGCCCCUUUCUGAAUUCUUUUAUUGUUUACAGUAAGUUUUCAGUUGAUUUUUUUUUGGAUAUACAAUUAUAUCUGCAAAUGGAGAUAAUUUAACUUCCUCAUUUCUAAUCCUUUUGUCUUAGACUGAUUUUGUGGUGUAAUGGUCUUUGUACUCCUGGCCUUGCUGGUCUUUUCCUUCUUGUCUUUUUUCUAAGUCUGAAUUGGCAGCUUCCUUGGCCAUUCUCUGUGUUAUUCAAUAUACUUUCAUCAAAUUCUUUUUCACUUAAUGUCAGAACCGGUUUUCUGUUACCUUAUCUAAGAAGCCCAACUAAAAGUUGAUUUUGCACAAAUAGUGCAAAUAGUGCAAAUAAUGCCCAAUGAUGCAUUAUCAAUAGUGAUAUCUGUUGCCAUUUAUUGAGGGGCUAUUGAGGCAGUGUGCCAAGUCAUUCGUAUGUAUAAUAUCAAUCAAUUCCUAGAGAAUGUGCCCUUGGUUAUAGUAUCAAGUUUGAACUCAUUUUAGCUUCUUCAAAGAGACUGCUUUUUGUGUUAGUAGUAGCUCUAAAAUGUAAGGUAAUAGCCAGUUUAAUAUUUGUAUACUUUUGUUUGCUUUGACAUUAUAAAGUCAAUUUUUAUUAGGCUAACAGCUAUUCAGGUUUUCUUUAAUGCAGUGAUACCUUAUUCCCAAAGCAAAUGCUUGAAGCCCAGUAUGAAACACAUUUUAAAGGGAAGUUGCAAAGGUUAGGUAGAUAACAUAGAAGGAAGCUACUUAACCUAGAAUAUCGUGAUAUGUCUGAGCAUAGACAAAAAGGACAAAUUGUUUGGAUGAUGAAAUAUAGACAUUUCUGGACACAGAUCCUGGUGGCUCUUAUUGGUUGAAUUGUGUCCUCCAAAAAUAUAUGUUGAAGUUCCACCCCCUAUUACCUCAGAAGGUGACCUUAUUUGGAAAUAAGGUCUUUAGAGUGGUGAUCCAGUGAGGAAAUUGUCUGGACCGGGGGGAGAGGACAAAGACGACUAAGACGGCGCAUUUCCGGGUUCUUCAUCACCAACUUACCUGCGCAUGGGAAAAUGCAGCCCACGCCCAGAAAAAAUACAGACCGAUUGCGCAGGCGCAACAUGGAGUCCGAUCAAGGAAACUGAAACUUACCUGGCCGCACCUAUGGAACGCCCCCAACACGCCCGUGUCCCGCCUAUUGCCCUCCCACUCCCAAGCCUUAGACAGAAAAGCCGCUCCCGGCAGGCGUGCGGCGCGAACUUCCUCGGUCCCUCCUCAUAUGCGGACCUAGGAACGUCGACGGAGAACGCCAGAGCGACUUCCUCGGCCUCCACCACCGGAGACCGGUGAACCUCGCCCUUUCUUCCUCCACAUUGGCUAGCUAAUAAAGUUUCUUUUUACCUUGCCUACUUGCCUUUUCUCUGGCGCCUGCUCUAGCGGUCACAUAAAACAAAUCAGGUGGUGCCGAAACCCGGGAGGAGACCCC
ensembl:lncRNA